rnacentral:rRNA from 1 species
AUUGAACGCUGGCGGCAGGCCUAACACAUGCAAGUCGAGCGGAUGAAGGGAGCUUGCUCCUGGAUUCAGCGGCGGACGGGUGAGUAAUGCCUAGGAAUCUGCCUGGUAGUGGGGGAUAACGUCCGGAAACGGGCGCUAAUACCGCAUACGUCCUGAGGGAGAAAGUGGGGGAUCUUCGGACCUCACGCUAUCAGAUGAGCCUAGGUCGGAUUAGCUAGUUGGUGGGGUAAAGACCUACCAAGGCGACGAUCCGUAACUGGUCUGAGAGGAUGAUCAGUCACACUGGAACUGAGACACGGUCCAGACUCCUACGGGAGGCAGCAGUGGGGAAUAUUGGACAAAGGGCGAAAGCCUGAUCCAGCCAUGCCGCGUGUGUGAAGAAGGUCUUCGGAUUGUAAAGCACUUUAAGUUGGGAGGAAGGGCAGUAAGUUAAUACCUUGCUGUUUUGACGUUACCAACAGAAUAAGCACCGGCUAACUUCGUG